AAGAAAGGAAGAAUGCCACUGAUCUUGACCAACAUUAUGACCAUAAAGAAAUCCCAAAUAGCUUAAAACUCCUACCAAAUGAAUCAGCUUCUAGGAUCUUCAAACUGAAACUGAAAGGAGGGUAAGAUGCAAGUUUUUCCAUGAGUGAAGCUUAUGUAUAUCACAUAUGUUGAGGUGCAUCUUCUAUAAUGAAAUUGUUAACAUGGAAAUUCAAUACAAAUACAUACAUAGGUACAUACAUACAUAGGUACAUACAUAGGUACAUACAUACAUACAUACAUACAUACAUACAUACAUACAUACAUACAUACAUACAUAAGUAUAGCUAGAU
rnacentral:lncRNA from 1 species